UUAAAGUGAAAUAGUCCUUGUUUAGGUCGAGAGACGCUUGGAUUUACCAUCGACUACAAUUCUCUAUAAGCAAUUACAUGUCAAGACUCUACACACUCAUAGCCAAUAGAGACGUAUACCUCAGAAGGUGGACAUAACCCCAACGCCUCAAUUCUCAUUGUUUACAACACACGUGACAAUCUCUCUUUAUUUUGCUAUUUUCAGUUCUUACAUUCUUGUUUUGGUUACAUACUACAAUCCCCCCUUUCCUACGAAACUUGCACUAAAAGUCUAGUAAUUUUUCUUGCUUGUUGGCCAAGCUAUUCUCUGUGGGAUCGAUACCCAACCCAGGUUGGGUUCUAUAUUUGCUAACGACCGCUUUACACUCCCACGAGAGCUGUAGAUUGAGC
rnacentral:lncRNA from 1 species